rnacentral:rRNA from 1 species
AGAGUUUGAUCCUGGCUCAGAAUGAACGCUGGCGGCGUGCUUAACACAUGCAAGUCGGAUGUGCCGCAAGGUGCAUGGCAGACGGGUGAGUAACGCGUAGGGAACCUACCUCUUUGUGGGGAAUAACGUUCCGAAAGGAAUGGUAAUACCGCAUGAGAUCCACGACUGGGAUGUUGUGGAUGAAAGCCGGGGAUCGAAAGACCUGGCGCAAGGAGAGGGUCCUGCGUCUGAUUAGCUAGUUGGUGGGGUAACGGCCUACCAAGGCGACGAUCAGUAGCCGGCCUGAGAGGGUGAUCGGCCACACUGGAACUGAGACACGGUCCAGACUCCUACGGGAGGCAGCAGUGGGGAAUUUUGCGCAAUGGGCGAAAGCCUGACGCAGCAACGCCGCGUGAGUGAUGAAGGCCUUCGGGUCGUAAAGCUCUGUCAGUGGGGAAGAACCGCCGGGUGGUUAAUACCUGCCUGGUCUGACGGUACCCACAAAGGAAGCACCGGCUAACUCCGUGCCAGCAGCCGCGGUAAUACGGAGGGUGCAAGCGUUGUUCGGAAUUAUUGGGCGUAAAGCGCGUGUAGGCGGUUUGUUAAGUCUGGUGUGAAAGCCCUGGGCUCAACCUUGGCCUUGCCUUUGAAACUAUUAUGCUAGAGUAUUGGAUAGGAGGGUGGAACUACAAGUGUAGCGGUGGAAUGCGUAGAUAUUUGUAGGAAUGCCGAUGACGAAGGUAACUCUCUGGACAAAUACUGACGCUGAGGCGCGAAAGCUAGGGGAGCAAACAGGAUUAGAUACCCUGGUAGUCC